rnacentral:rRNA from 1 species
GACGAACGCUGGCGGCGUGCUUAACACAUGCAAGUCGAACGGAAAGGCCCUGUUUGUGUGGGGUGCUCGAGGGGCGAACGGGUGAGUAACACGUGAGUAACCUGCCCCUGACUGUGGGAUAACGUCAGGAAACUGGGGCUAAUACCGGAUAGGAGCUCCUGCUGCAGGGUGGGGGUUGGAUAGUUUCGGCGGUUGGGGAUGGACGCGCGGCUUAUCAGCUUGUUGGUGGGGUAGUGGCUUACCAAGGCUUUGACGGGUAGCCGGCCUGAGAGGGUGACCGGCCACAUUGGGACUGAGAUACGGCCCAGACUCCUACGGGAGGCAGCAGUGGGGAAUAUUGCACAAUGGGCGGAAGCCUGAUGCAGCAACGCCGCGUGCGGGAUGACGGCCUUCGGGUUGUAAACCGCUUUCGCCUGUGACGAAGCGUGAGUGACGGUAAUGGGUAAAGAAGCACCGGCUAACUACGUG